UGAUAAAACAGAAUUACAGGCCGCGGCGC
rnacentral:sRNA from 1 species